GAAGUGCAACGGCCUUUAUGCCUGUGAAGCUUUUGAUGGUGCGUAUCUUUCUGACUUGUUGGACCGGAGAAGGGAGGAGAUGGCCACCGCACUGCUAAAUAGCAAAAUACAGUUUUUGGUCAAAAGGGCUGUUAUUCAUUGGCGUUGGCUUUGGAGAAAACCCCCAAACUAUAUGAAAGUAUUGGAUCUUGGGAUCAAUAAAAUUGGAGACAAAGGGGCCAAUGAGCUCUUCAGCAGAUAUGAUAUAUCGCAGUUAACCAAAUUGCGGAUGUAUUGCUGCGGAAUCACCGUAUUAAGCUGUGAACAUAUAGAGGGGAGCUUUGAAGUCGGAAAGUAGCACCCUGGUGGAAUUAAAUUUGAACAGCAACCAAUUAACAGAGGCUGGGUUUGGACUCAUCUGCGCAGGAAUGUAUGCAUGGUCCUGUCUGGAAAAACUAAGUGUGUCAAGAUGUGGAAUUUCUACUGCGGGCUGCUUUUUUAUGGCAAAGGUCCUGGCUUGUGUCUCCCAACACUACACUCAGGGGACAAAGCAAAUGGAGUGGCAGUCAGUUGAGCUGAGGGAGCUGGAUCUCACCAACAGACUUGGGGAUGAGGGAUUCAAUGAAAUUUCAUCUGCCCUUAAGAAUCCUUUCAAUCACUUCAAAUCUCUCAACCUAAGCCACUGCGAUCUCGCCAAUGACUUGCACACAAUCGACAUCGGUACUUGCAUCAGUGGCCUGCAGGAUCGGCGAGCUGGAUCUCACUGACAAUGACAAUCCAGGAUAAGGGAGUGAAGAAACUGUGUGGGACUGAGGAGUAAUCAUUGCAGACUUGAAAAGUUAGCACUAACUGUGGCCUCAGCUCAAGAAGUGUUCCUUACCUGACUGCUGCCCUGAAGUCAAACCCAAAGCACCUAACUGAGCUGCUUGUGAUUGGCAACAAGCUGAGCGAUGCGGACAUCAGACGGCUCAUUGCACUAACAAUGAACAAGAAAUAUGCAUUGGAUACAAUAGAUGUCUCAGAAGACUGAGGUGUCGAAGGCAAAGGUGGAUCAUACAAAAUCAUGUUUGCUCAAUCAUUUGAUCGUACAGCUCAUCGCAUUAUUGGAAGUCAUUUGGUUGUCCAUGUUCCCAUAUAAAAACGUUUUACAAAAAAUGUUAAUUGUACAAACAUCAGGCUUGGAGUGUAACGGAAUACAUGUAAUGGGAUUAUGUAAUUACUUAACAAAAGGUAACUGUAUUUCAUGACAGUUUCACAAAAAAUAUAAUCUGAUUAAAAGUACAUGUAUUAAAAA